rnacentral:rRNA from 1 species
AGAGUUUGAUCCUGGCUCAGAUUGAACGCUGGCGGAAUGCUUUACACAUGCAAGUCGAACGGCAGCACGAGAGCUUGCUCUUGGUGGCGUGUGGCGAACGGGUGAGUAAUAUAUCGGAACGUAUCCAAUAAUGGGGGAUAACUAAUCGAAAGGUUGGCUAAUACCGCAUACGCCCUACGGGGGAAAGCAGGGGAUCUUCGGACCUUGCGUUAAUGGAGCGGCUGAUAUCUGAUUAGCUAGUAGGUGAGGUAAAGGCUCACCUAGGCUUCGAUCAGUAGCUGGUCUGAGAGGACGACCAGCCACACUGGAACUGAGACACGGUCCAGACUCCUACGGGAGGCAGCAGUGGGGAAUUUUGGACAAUGGGCGCAAGCCUGAUCCAGCCAUUCCGCGUGAGUGAAGAAGGCCUUCGGGUUGUAAAGCUCUUUCGCAAGGGAAGAAACGUUACGAGCUAAUAACUCGUGAUAAUGACGGUACCUUGAUAAGAAGCACCGGCUAACUACGUGCCAGCAGCCGCGGUAAUACGUAGGGUGCGAGCGUUAAUCGGAAUUACUGGGCGUAAAGCGUGCGCAGGCGGUUUUGUAAGUCAGAUGUGAAAUCCCCGAGCUCAACUUGGGAACUGCGUUUGAAACUACAAGGCUAGAGUAUGGUAGAGGGGGGUAGAAUUCUACGUGUAGCAGUGAAAUGCGUAGAGAUGUGGAGGAAUACCAAUGGCGAAGGCAGCCCCCUGGACUAAUACUGACGCUCAUGCACGAAAGCGUGGGGAGCAAACAGGAUUAGAUACCCUGGUAGUCCACGCCCUAAACGAUGUCUACUAGUUGUUGGGAGAGUAAAAUCUCUUAGUAACGCAGCUAACGCGUGAAGUAGACCGCCUGGGGAGUACGGUCGCAAGAUUAAAACUCAAAGGAAUUGACGGGGGCCC